UACGGAGGGUGCAAGCGUUGUGCGGAUUUAUUGGGCGUAAAGGGCGUGUAGGCGGUCCGUUAAGUCUGAUGUGAAAGCCCCGGGCUCAACCUGGGAAGUGCAUUGGAAACUGGCGGACUUGAGUACGGGAGAGGGCAGUGGAAUUCCUAGUGUAGGAGUGAAAUCCGUAGAUAUUAGGAGGAACACCGGUGGCGAAGGCGGCUGCCUGGACCGAUACUGACGCUGAGACGCGAAAGCGUGGGGAGCAAACAGG
rnacentral:rRNA from 1 species